AAGGAUCAUUAAUGAUUAACUGUCUGUCGAGCUUGCUCACAGACUUAUCAUAUCCAUAACACCUGUGCACUUGUCGGAUGGCUUAGUGAAGACCGCAAGGUUGGAACUAUCCAUCUACUUUACAUAACAAUUUAGUAACAAAUGUAGUCUUAUUAUAACAUAAUAAAACUUUCAACAACGGAUCUCUUGGCUCUCGCAUCGAUGAAGAACGCAGCGAAAUGCGAUAAGUAAUGUGAAUUGCAGAAUUCAGUGAAUCAUCGAAUCUUUGAACGCACCUUGCGCUCCCUGGUAUUCCGGGGAGCAUGCCUGUUUGAGUGUCAUGAAAACCCUCAACCUUAGAUUGGUUAACACCUUUCUUUGGCUUGGAUUUGGACGUUUGCCGAUGAUAAGUCGGCUCGUCUUAAAAGUAAUAGCUGGAUCUGUCUCGCGACAUGGUUUGACUUGGCGUAAUAAGUAUUUCGCUAAGGACAUCUUCGGAUGGCCGCGUUGCAAGACUAAAGACCGCUUUCUAAUCCAUUGAUCUUCGGAUUAAUAUUCUUGACAUCUGGCCUCAAAUCAGGUAGGACUACCCGCUGAACUUAA
rnacentral:rRNA from 1 species